AGUGAACGCUGGCGGUAGGCCUUACACAUGCAAGUCGAACGGCAGCACAGUAAGAGCUUGCUCGUACGGGUGGCGAGUGGCGGACGGGUGAGGAAUACAUCGGAAUCUACGUUUUCGUGGGGGAGAACGUAGGGAAACUUACGCUAAUACCGCAUACGACCUACGGGUGAAAGCAGGGGAUCUUCGGACCUUGCGCGAUUGAAUGAGCCGAUUUCGGAUUAGCGAGUUGGCGGGGGAAAGGCCCACCAAGGGGACGAUCCGUAGCUGGUUUGAGAGGACGACCAGCCACACUUGGACUGGGACACGGCCCAGACUCCCACGGGGAGGAGGAGUGGGGAAAUUUGGACAAUGGGGGAAAGCCCGAUCCAGCAAUGCCGCGUGUGGUAAAAAGGCCUUUGGGUUGUAAAGCACUUUUUUUCGGAAAAAAAACCUUGGCGGUAAUACCGCCGGGGUUUGACGGGACCCGAAAGAUAAACACCGGGUAAAUAUGUU
rnacentral:rRNA from 1 species